CCUACGGGAGGCAGCAGUGGGGAAUUUUCCGCAAUGGGCGAAAGCCUGACGGAGCAAGACCGCGUGGGGGAGGAAGGUCUAUUGAUUGUAAACCCCUUUUCCAAGGAAAGAAAAAAAUGACGGUACCUUGGGAAUAAGCAUCGGCUAACUCUGUGCCAGCAGCCGCGGUAAUACAGAGGAUGCAAGCGUUAUCCGGAAUUAUUGGGCGUAAAGAGUCCGUAGGGGGCUAGUCAAGUCUGUCGUUAAAGACCGCAGCUUAACUGCGGAGAGGCGAUGGAAACUGAAGAGCUAGAGAGCAGUAGGGGCAGAGGGAAUUCCCAGUGUAGCGGUGAAAUGCGUAGAGAUUGGGAAGAACAUCGGUGGCGAAAGCGCUCUGCUGGGCUGAAUCUGACCCUGAGGGACGAAAGCUAGGGUAGCAAAAGGGAUUAGAUACCCUUGUAGUC
rnacentral:rRNA from 1 species